UACGUAGGGUGCAAGCGUUGUCCGGAAUUAUUGGGCGUAAAGAGCUCGUAGGCGGUUUGUCGCGUCUGCUGUGAAAAUCCAGGGCUUAACCCUGGACCUGCAGUGGGUACGGGCAGACUAGAGUGUGGUAGGGGAGACUGGAAUUCCUGGUGUAGCGGUGAAAUGCGCAGAUAUCAGGAGGAACACCGAUGGCGAAGGCAGGUCUCUGGGCCACUACUGACGCU
rnacentral:rRNA from 1 species